rnacentral:lncRNA from 1 species
UAGUAAUACCUUUCAACAACGAACGUUGCAGUAUACAAUUUUAUAAACUGAGCUUCAAACCCAGCAAGUGAUCUUUUUUAUUUGGUCGAACUCAGCAUGUGACUUGAGCAUGAUUAGAUGACUUUGCAGCCGGAGCGUAAGAUCAUGCGUUAUUUGAUUCCAUAAUAGACGAAGGUUCCUUGCCAAACCCACGCAAACAUAGAGGGCAAGCAUAAGAAACUAGAAAGUAGUUAGAUAUAUUGAAUAGGCAAAUAAAUCUUUAGCAGACGCGUAAUAGACAAAGAAUUAUUUAUCAAAACUCAAAAGAGACGU